GCUACACAUGCAGUCGACGGUAACAUUUCUAGCUUGCUAGAAGAUGACGAGUGGCGGACGGGUGAGUAAUGCUUGGGAACAUGCCUUAUGGUGGGGGACAACAGUUGGAAACGACUGCUAAUACCGCAUAAUGUCUACGGACCAAAGUGGGGGACCUUCGGGCCUCACGCCAUAAGAGUGGCCCAAGUGGGAUUAGCUAGUUGGUAAGGUAAUGGCUUACCAAGGCGACGAUCCCUAGCUGGUCUUAGAGGAUGACCAGCCACACUGGAACUGAGACACGGUCCAGACUCCUACGGGAGGCAGCAGUGGGGAAUAUUGCACAAUGGGCGCAAGCCUGAUGCAGCCAUGCCGCGUGUGUGAAGAAGGCUUUCGGGUUGUAAAGCACUUUCAGCGAGGAGGAAAGGGUGUGUUUUAAUAGAGCGCAUCUGUGACGUUACUCGCAGAAGAGCACCGGCUAACUCCGUGCCANCAGCCGCGGUAAUACGGAGGGUGCGAGCGUUAAUCGGAUUACUGGGCGUAAAGCGCGCGUAGGUGGUUAGUUA
rnacentral:rRNA from 1 species